rnacentral:tRNA from 1 species
GUACAUAUAGUUUAACAAAAACACCAGGCUGUGACUCUGGAGAUAGAAGCACUAAACUUCUUAUGCACC